UGCCACAGCCGUAUCACCCUGCUGCUCAACACUGGUUGCUCACUGAAGCUAAGCAGGCCUGAGCCUGGUCUUUAGCUGGAUGGGAGACCACAUAAGAAAACUAGGUUGCUAUUGGAA
ensembl:rRNA 5S_rRNA 5S ribosomal RNA